rnacentral:rRNA from 1 species
AGAGUUUGAUCCUGGCUCAGGAUGAACGCUAGCGAUAGGCCUAACACAUGCAAGUCGAGGGGCAGCACAUGAGUAGCAAUACGAUGGUGGCGACCGGCGCACGGGUGAGUAACACGUAUGCAACCUACCUUUAACAGGGGAAUAACCCGUUGAAAAACGGACUAAUACUCCAUAACACAGGGGUCCCGCAUGGGAAUAUUUGUUAAAGAUUUAUCGGUUGAAGAUGGGCAUGCGUUCCAUUAGCUUGUUGGUGAGGUAACGGCUCACCAAGGCUACGAUGGAUAGGGGAACUGAGAGGUUUAUCCCCCACACUGGAACUGAGACACGGUCCAGACUCCUACGGGAGGCAGCAGUGAGGAAUAUUGGUCAAUGGAGGCAACUCUGAACCAGCCAAGUCGCGUGAAGGAUGAAGGUCUUAUGGAUUGUAAACUUCUUUUGCAAGGGAAUAAAGUGGGGGACGUGUCCUCCUUUGCAUGUACCUUGCGAAUAAGGAUCGGCUAACUCCGUGCCAGCAGCCGCGGUAAUACGGAGGAUCCGAGCGUUAUCCGGAUUUAUUGGGUUUAAAGGGUGCGCAGGCGGGAUGUUAAGUCGGCGGUGAAAUUUUGCAGCUCAACUGUAAAAGUGCCUUCGAUACUGGCUUUCUUGAGUGUGGAUGAAGUAGGCGGAAUUUGUGGUGUAGCGGUGAAAUGCUUAGAUAUCACGAGGAACUCCGAUUGCGCAGGCAGCUUACUAAACCACUACUGACGCUCAUGCACGAAGGCGUGGGGAUCAAACAGGAUUAGAUACCCUGGUAGUCCACGCAGUAAACGAUGAUUACUAGUUGUUUGCGAUACAAUGUAAGCGACUGAGCGAAAGCGUUAAGUAAUCCA